AGUCGAGCGAGCAAAGUUAAAGGAAUACUUCGGUAGGAAUUUAAUAGCGCGAGCGGCGGAUGGGUGAGUAACACGUGGGCAACCUGCCCUUUAGCUUGGGAUACCACUUGGAAACAGGUGCUAAUACCAAAUAAGAAGUAAGAGCGCAUGCUCAAGCUAUGAAAGGCGGCUUUCGAGCUGUCACUAAAGGAUGGGCCCGCGGUGCAUUAGCUAGUUGGUAAGGCAACGGCUUACCAAGGCAAUGAUGCAUAGCCGAGUUGAGAGACUGAUCGGCCACAUUGGGACUGAGACACGGCCCAAACUCCUACGGGAGGCAGCAGUAGGGAAUCUUCCACAAUGGACGCAAGUCUGAUGGAGCAACGCCGCGUGAGUGAAGAAGGUUUUCGGAUCGUAAAGCUCUGUUGUUGGUGAAGAAGGACAUGGAUAGUAACUGAUCUAUGUUUGACGGUAAUCAACCAGAAAGUCACGGCUAACUACGUGCCAGCAGCCGCGGUAAUACGUAGGUGGCAAGCGUUGUCCGGAUUUAUUGGGCGUAAAGCGAACGCAGGCGGGAGAACAAGUCAGCUGUGAAAGCCCUCGGCUUAACCGAGGAACGGCAACUGAAACUGUUUUUCUUGAGUGCAGAAGAGGAGAGUGGAACUCCAUGUGUAGCGGUGAAAUGCGUAGAUAUAUGGAAGAACACCAGUGGCGAAGGCGGCUCUCUGGUCUGUAACUGACGCUGAGGUUCGAAAGCAUGGGUAGCGAACAGGAUUAGAUACCCUGGUAGUCCAUGCCGUAAACGAUGAGUGCUAAGUGUUGGGAGGUUUCCGCCUCUCAGUGCUGCAGCUAACGCAUUAAGCACUCCGCCUGGGGAGUACGACCGCAAGGUUAAAACUCAAAGGAAUUGAC
rnacentral:rRNA from 1 species